rnacentral:rRNA from 1 species
GUACACGCUGUGACUAGCAUAUCAAUAAGCGGAGGAAAAGAAACUAACAAGGAUUCCCCUAGUAACGGCGAGUGAAGCGGGAAGAGCUCAAAUUUGAAAUCCUUAAAGGGUUUCCCUUUACGAAUUGUAGUUUAAAGAAGUGUUUUCUGUUGAGGUUUUGGUAAAAGUUCUUUGGAAUAGGACAUCAUAGAGGGUGAGAAUCCCGUAUUUGACCUUUACUUUCAACUUUGUGAUACACUUUCAAAGAGUCGGAUUGUUUGGGGAAUGCAGUCCAAAAUGGGUGGUAAAUUUCAUCUAAAGCUAAAUAUUGGCGAGAGACCGAUAGCGAACAAGUACCGUGAGGGAAAGAUGAAAAGAACUUUGAAAAGAGAGUUAAACAGUACGUGAAAUUGUCAAAAGGGAAGCGUUUGACACCAGUGUUGUUUUUCUGAAAAUCAAUUAAAGAACUGUUUAUGCUAAGUUGUUUAGACUUUAUCAGCUAACUGUUUAGUUUUGAGCUUUUCUUUAAUGCACUUUUCAGUUAACAAGUCAACAUCAAUUUCUUUUGCUGUAAAAAAGCUUGAGGAAGGUGGCUUGAGAUUCGUCUUAAGUCGUCUAUAGCCUCUUGCCUAUGCAGUCGGAGAGAUUGAGGUCUGCAGCGUAGAUCCUUCGGGGCUAAAUGCAUUUGUGCUAAGUUAUAGCAUUUUAUAGACAACUUGUUGACUAUGAUUUGUCUUGUAGCUUACUCGCUUAUGUUAUUUUACCUACGCUUAGGAUGUUGACAGCAGUAUAGACUGU